AAAUAUCGACGUAAUUGAAAGUUAAAUUAAAUUUUUACAAGAAUUAAAGUACAGAAUAUGUCGAUUUGUAACAAUUCCGAUUCCUGCUUAUGCUGUGCGUUCACAGUCCAUUUUCGUGUUUCAUAAUGAUAAUCUAUAUAACGUAGUAGGAUGUUAAUAACAUGAUCGUAAAAUCUAAAUAUCGAAAAAUAUGUACAAAUUUACUUUUAAAAAUAACAUAUUAUAGAAUUACUUAUUCUUACUAAAACAGUUGUAUAAACUUAACUUUCUAAGAAAGACUAUAUAUAAUAUUAGGUUAGACGACAAAUAGCUAAAGUAUGUGGAAGUUCUUUCUACACAAAAUAAAACAAAGUCUACCAACUGAUAGGGCUACACGAAUUCGAUCAAGUUUUGCCGCAAUAUAUGCAUUUACUGCAUGGAAUAUGGCUAUAAUUACAUUCUAUUAUUCAAUUCAGGACCAGAUACCUAAUACUGCAGAAAAGAAAGAAAAAUUCAUGAAGAAAAUGAAAGAUGCAAAUAUAGACGUAGAAUUUCUAGAAAUCAAAGGAUUUAGUAUCACUACUUCUGAAAAUAAAGAAAAUGAAACAAAUACUGUGGCAACAUAGACCUUUAAGAUGUUAUUAAUUUUAAACUAGAAUAAAAUGAAUUUACAAAAGCGUUUUUACCAAAUUCAAUUUAUUAACAGA